UGCUAUGGGUCGCUGAUUGCCAGCGCCUGCAGCUAGCUAGCUGUACUAAAGCUCCGGUCGGGCCGGUCACGUAGUUGUUGACGAGUUGGUGAACUUGUCUUAGCUUAGAUUUCACAUUAUUCAUGCCUACAUGAGCUGCAUACAACUGCUCUAAUCGCUAGGAUUGGGAUGGACAUUGAUUUCAUUUCCAUUCAGCUUUUGGACUGUACCGGUACUGUAACAUAGUAUGGAUGGUCAAUAUGAAGCAAGCUUCAUUGAAUUCCUCCAAGAGCUCUGUACUCUGUUCUGAUUAUUUUGAAGAUGCUUGCUUUGACUGGACUGGGCAAACGAUUCGUCUUAGACAGGAUGCUGCCCCAACCAUAUUUGAUUUCCCGCCUCGUCUUAAAAAUGACCCAAACCAAGGAAUUCCUGGAAAGAAUUUCGAUUUUGCAAACACCCUCCCAGAUACUGCAAAGACACCUGUACCAAAGUCUUCAGCACCUUCAUUUCUCGAGGACCACUACUACUCAAUACCAGAAAGUCCAAGAGGAGUAAAGUGGAAGUUAACACCAAUAAUGGACUGUUAUUAAAAACUU
rnacentral:lncRNA from 1 species